UACGUAGGGGGCUAGCGUUGUCCGGAAUCAUUGGGCGUAAAGAGCGCGUAGGCGGCCAGAUAAGUCCGGUGUGAAAGUCAAAGGCUCAACCUUUGAAUGCCGCUGGAAACUGUCUGGCUAGAGUCCGGGAGGGGCGAGUGGAAUUCCUGGUGUAGCGGUGAAAUGCGCAGAUAUCAGGAGGAACACCAAUGGCGAAGGCAGCUCGCUGGAAACGGUACUGACGCUGAGGCGCGAAAGCGUGGGGGAGCGAAACAGG
rnacentral:rRNA from 1 species